rnacentral:rRNA from 1 species
UACAGAGGGUGCGAGCGUUAAUCGGAAUUACUGGGCGUAAAGCGUGCGUAGACGGUUAUUUAAGUCGGGUGUGAAAGCCCCGGGCUCAACCUGGGAAUUGCAUUCGAGACUGAAUAGCUAGGGUACGGUAGAGGGAAGCGGAAUUUCCGGUGUAGCGGUGAAAUGCGUAGAUAUCGGAAGGAACAUCAGCGGCGAAAGCGGCUUCCUGGACCAGUACCGACGUUCAGGCACGAAAGCGUGGGGAGCAAACAGG